GGAACAUAUUUUAUGAAACCUGAGGACUUGAGACUUCACCAGCCCCUUGAAGAGAAGAAAACAGUGGUAUCCAGGAAGUUGACCGACUCCCGCUCCAACGUAUACUUCAAUUUAAUGGAAGGAUGCCCCGCCUCCGUGUCAAUGUUAGUGUACAGACUUUCCACAUCUAUAGUAAAAAGGACUCGCUCCCACAAUCGGACACAAUUGGCCGUCCAGGCGGGACCUGAAAAGGGACCGUCCAUGCCUCCGGUUCUUUAUGGAUUUU